GUGCUCUUGAUGAGGGUUAUUCUCCCGCCCUUAGAAAUGUAUUGUCUUUUCCAAAGGGCUAAUCUUCUCCUCAUUCUUUCUUCCACCCCAUCCCACAUAGAUAUGGCCUUGUGAUUGGCUCCAAGAGGUAGCCCCAAGUAAACUGAAGGAAGAGCUCCCACUUUGCACCCAAGCUCCACUGCCAUUUCCUCAAUUUCUUCAACUUCCCCAAUAGGGAUUAGCUCACUUUUGGCUAGGUUUAUUCUUAGACCGGACGCCGCCUCAAACCAAGCCAAGAUCCAGCUUAAAGAGGUAAGAUACUCUUUCUUAGCUUCACAAAAGAUAAUUGUGUCAUCCGCAAAGAGAAGAUGAGAGACCUCC
rnacentral:lncRNA from 1 species